rnacentral:rRNA from 1 species
UACGUAGGGGGCAAGCGUUUGUCCGGAUUUAUUGGGCGUAAAGCGCUCGCAGGUGGUUCGUCGCGUCGUGCGUGAAAGACCCCGGCUCAACUGGGGAGGGUCGUGCGAUACGGGCGGACUGGAGGCCAGUAGGGGGAUGCGGAAUUCCGGGUGUAGUGGUGGAAUGCGUAGAGAUCCGGAGGAACACCAGCGGCGAAGGCGGCAUCCUGGACUGGUCCUGACACUCAGGAGCGAAAGCGUGGGGAGCGAUCCGG